UAGAGCUAGAACCUCACGGCCACCCUAAAGAAACCAUAGCUUAAAGCAGAACCUAGUUCUCCCAUGUGGCCACUUCUAUUCGCGAUAUUCAUCAUAGCGCUCCUACCAGCGUAUAUCCAGGCAAAACCAUGUAUAACUGAAGGCUUUCAGUGCGUGCCGCCAGAUAAAUGUCGGCCUUCGUGGAAAAGGAACCUCGGUGGAUGUGCUGGCGUCACAGUGUGCUGCAGCAUUGCACAAAGACCAUGUGACCUGAUGGGUGGAUUCUGCUUGGGAAAAUGUCAGAAGGAUCAAAGGCAAAAUAUAUCUUAUCCGUGCCACAAUAACCUCAAGUGUUGUUUCGCUAAAACGCAGCGAGAUUC